CGUAACUUUAAGCACACGUGAGCGUCCUCAGCUGGCAGCCAUGGCUGGCGGGUCCUUCCUAGCAUGUGCUGCGGCCCUCACCUUAUCUUCCGUCAUCAGGGCACAGGCGCCGUGCAGGGCUAUUCCGAGUCCAGGUAGAGAUGGCUGAGCUCGGUGGCAGGAGAUCAGCCUGCGGUGGAGCAGGGACGUUUGCCCUGGGGAGACACGUGCCACCGGGUGGACAUCGAGGCCCUGUGGGUGGCCCUACAGCGUGGAAGGGAUGACCGAGCUUUGGGACAUGUCCUGGUAAGUCAGUUGUGGAAGCUCGGUGGCCGGUGAAGCCAAACUCCGUAUCUUGAAUUCAUUUUCAGGACUAAUUCUCUCCCCUAGACUUCUGGGGACUGGGAGACUGCAGUAUGGGUCGUGCAGGAUUGGAGUGAUAUACUUAGCAAGCCUCCAGCGUGCUUGGGUCUGCAGUGACCCUGUGCAUUCCUACAGUGCUUGCCAGAACAAUUUUGAAGUGGUUUGAGGCCUUGCCCUGCCCUCUCCAGAGCAAGGUUAUAGAAAUUUCAGACAAUAUGGCAGACACCUGCCACGUGGAUAAAUUACAAGCCGGUAAGAUUUGCAAUGCUGCACUUUGGGUUUUUUGUUUUGUUUAACUGUGUGGGAUAGUUCUGCACAUGGUGCAGAGGCAAAUAAGUCAUUUCUUGUUGGUUUUGUUUUGAGGCAAGGUUUCUCUGUAGUUCUUGCUGUCCUGGAACUCAAAACAGAUCCACUCACCUCUGCCUCCUGAGUGCUGGGAUUAAAGGUGUGUAAGGCUACACCCAGCUGAAUAUUUUUCUGUGCUCCAGAGUUAGUACAAAGUAGUAAAUCCUUAAAACAGUUACAAAAUACAGCAGGAGUACCAGAGUUGGGUCUCCGGUGUUGAAGUAAAACCCCAGGUGUGGUGACACGUGGUUUUGGUUCCAUUUGGGCUCUAGGCCUUAUUUUUCUUUUUUUUUUUUUCUUUUCUCGAGACAAGGUUUCUCUGUGUAGCCCUGGCUGUCCUGGAACUCACUUUGUAGACCAGGCUGGCCUGGAACUCAGAAAUCCAUCUGCCUCUACCUCCCGAGUGCUGGGAUUAAAGACGUGUGCCACCACACCGGGCCUUAGGCCUGGUUCUUAAAAGGCAGAGAGCCUGCAGAUGGUAGAAAUCUGGCUGCUGUGCCAAUACCUAAGGAAAGCCUCCCGGCAAAAGGAAGGAAUCCCAGGUACUGGGAUUAAGGGUGUGUGUUACCACACCAGGCCCUCAUUUCAAAUCUUUAUGUUGAAAGGGAAUAAAACUGUAAUUCAUGUAAUGUAUGUUAAAUAGCCCAAAGAGUUGUUUCUGAGCUUUGAAACCUGGGGCUGAGAACAUAGCAGAACAGACCAGGACAUGCCCGGGCAAGCCCAUCGCCUCCCUAGCUCCCACCCCUCUGACCUAAGUUAAAUGUUACAGGCUGCUGAUGUGAAACCGCGCCAAUUCCUCCCCCAGCCCCACUCCUUUUCUAUAAAAACCCCUAGCUUCCAAGCCUCGUGGUCG
rnacentral:lncRNA from 1 species